UUGGAGGGCAAGUCUGGUGCCAGCAGCCGCGGUGAUUCCAGCUCCAAUAGCGUAUAUUAAAGUUGUUGCAGUUAAAAAGCUCGUAGUUGAAUUUCGGGGUUAGUAGGUUGGUCAUGCCACUGGUAUGUACUGGUCUCACUGAUUCCUCCUUCCUGAUGAGCCGUAAUGCCAUUAAUUUGGUGUUGCGAGGAAUCUGGACUGUUACUUUGAAAAAAUUAGAGUGUUUAAAGCAGGCUAACGCUUGAAUACAUUAGCAUGGAAUAAUGAAAUAGGACGUUCGACCUUAUUUUGUUGGUUUCUAGGAUUGACGUAAUGAUUAAUAGGGAUAGUUGGGGGCAUUAGUAUUCAAUUGUCAGAGGUGAAAUUCUUGGAUUUAUUGAAGACUAACUACUGCGAAAGCAUUUGCCAAGGAUGUUUUCAUUAAUCAAGAACGAAAGUUAGGGGAUCGAAGACGAUCAGAUACCGUCGUAGUCUUAACCAUAAACUAUGCCGACUAGGGAUCGGAUGAUGUUAAUUUUUUAAUGACUCAUUCGGCGCCUUACGGGAAACCAAAGUGUUUGGGUUC
rnacentral:rRNA from 1 species